ensembl:lncRNA
UGGGAUGGCUAGAAGCCAGCUAUGGGGAUUAUUGAUAAAAAUGAGUUAAGAAUAGAUUAGAACAUUUCCCUUGUGAGGUAUAAUGUUUCUCUGUUGACUCUGUUAUUUUCCAUCUUCCAUUAGGCAUUGCAAGCCAGGAUUUUUUAACCCGAUUUUAAAGAAUGCAUAUUCCAUUAGAAUUAUUUUAUUAUAUGCCUGAGUUUCUUGUUAUAGGGUGAGGAACGUUCUUUUUAAAAGGUCUGUUGCUAUUAACUAAUAUAAGCAAGAGGACAAACUUUUCAGGUUUUUGAUUAGGUUUUGAUUUUGUCUGUGGAGAUGUAAAAUUUUCUCUGUCUCUUUUCUCACUACUGCUCUUUGUAUUUAAUAAAUCCAGAUCCUGAGAAGAUUCAAUGGUCUUUGGCCUGUACAGAAAGAUAAAGGGAUGAAAUUAUAUCUGGGGAAGUCAUCUGGAACACGAUAGUGAAAAAAACAUCAUCUGUUCUGAAUGAGGCUUUCACCUACAGGAUGUGUAAGAAAGGUCUAAUAACUAUGGAAAUUAUAUGAAAUCUGUACAGUGCCCUUGGUCACCCUUCUCAUCUGUGUUACAAUGCAUAGCUGCAAGGAAGGAGUGCUAAAAACAACAGCAUUAACCAGCGCUGGUGGUCUGAGCAAGCAGCAUCGAGAAAGGACGGCAGACGGCGAAUGGGAAACUAUUUCAGCCACUUUGUGAUGCCUGACCUUCAGAGCAAGUCAUUAUUCAAAUGUUCUUGUCCUAGGAGAUCUGGUAAAGAAGUAUCAGAUGGGAUCUAUGUGGGAAAUGUAAGCUGAAUGAAGAAAUGAUACAACAUAGAUUUGUAGAAGGUAGAAUUCUGUAUUAUGGCCUUCUCCAAGUCRUCAUCAACCUACACACUUGACUUACUGUGUGGCCCAGCUCAAUGGGGUUGUCCUGACUGGGAUCAUAGGCCUGGACUGGAAUCUCAGCCCUUCGUGGCCAGCCCAGCCACAGUGAAUAAAGUGGAUGCUAACCUGUCUUUGGCCAUAAGUGGAAGCAUUCCCUGAAGGAGGGGAGGCUGCAGAUCCACGAUUCACAGAAGACAUGGCUGCAGCCAGCUCACGCUCACAGCUCUGCAGACCGUUCGCAGGUAGGUGACGCACAGAAUCCGCCUGGAUCUGGUAUUUUUUGGUGCCUUUCUGCUUUCUGUAGUUUCUGUACUGCUUUGCCAUUGCACAGUACAUCUAUAAACAUAACCUGCAGUCACCUUUUGUACUUUCUCAUUUUCUCCCCAAGCAAGUGUGGUCUAGUCUGGACUUUGCAGUAAUCUCUGAUGUACAAGCAAAUCUGUUCCACUGAUGCAGGAAGGGAGUCGUAAGCUCUGUCGACAGGCUGUCCCUGUCGGUAGGAGGAGAUGCCGGGCUCUGCCUUAUGCUCCACGGCAGAGCAAAAUUUUGCGCAGACCAGAGGGACUCCGUUCCUCACUUAACACACGCAGUGUGAUUUCAGAGCCAAAGUGCUUGAAACAAAACCUAUAAUAAGGGGUGGCGGGUAGUGGAAAUGCCUUCCUACCUCUCUGUACGAUGGCACGCAGCACUGCUCUCCUGUCUGGUCAGCUCACGGGCAGGAGCUCCYCAGCGCCUCUCA